rnacentral:rRNA from 1 species
GACGAACGCUGGCGGCGUGCUUAACACAUGCAAGUCGAACGGAAAGGCCCUGCUUUUGUGGGGUGCCCGAGUGGCGAACGGGUGAGUAACACGCGAGUAUCCUGCCCUUGUCUUUGGGAUAACUUCAGGAAACUGGGGCUAAUACCGGAUAGGAGCUCCUGCUGCAUGGUGGGGGUUGGAAAGUUUCGGCGGUUGGGGAUGGACUCGCGGCUUAUCAGCUUGUUGGUGGGGUAGUGGCUUACCAAGGCUUUGACGGGUAGCCGGCCUGAGAGGGUGACCGGCCACAUUGGGACUGAGAUACGGCCCAGACUCCUACGGGAGGCAGCGGUGGGGAAUAUUGCACAAUGGGCUGAAGCCUGAUGCAGCAACGCCGCGUGCGGUAUGACGGCCUUCGGGUUGUAAACCGCUGUCGCCUGUUACGAAGCGUGAGUGACGGUAAUGGGUAAAGAAGCACCGGCUAACUACGUG